AUACGUAGGGGGCGAGCGUUGUCCGGAAUGAUUGGGCGUAAAGGGCGCGUAGGCGGCCUGUUAAGUCUGGAGUGAAAGUCCUGUUUUCAAGAUGGGAAUUGCUUUGGAUACUGAUGGGCUUGAGUGCAGGAGAGGAUAUCGGAAUUCCCGGUGUAGCGGUGAAAUGCGUAGAGAUUGGGAGGAACACCAGUGGCGAAGGCGACUUACUGGACUGUAACUGACGCUGAGGCGCGAAAGUGUGGGGAGCAAACAGGAUUAGAUACCCUGGUAGUCCACACUGUAAACGAUGAAUGCUAGGUGUAGGGGGUAUCGACCCCUUCUGUGCCGCAGUCAACACAAUAAGCAUUCCGCCUGGGGAGUAGGGCCGCAAGGUUGAAACUCAAAGGAAUUGACGGGG
rnacentral:rRNA from 1 species